rnacentral:rRNA from 1 species
UACGUAGGGUGCAAGCGUUGUCCGGAAUUAUUGGGCGUAAAGAGCUCGUAGGCGGUUUGUUGCGUCGGCUGUGAAAUCCCGAGGCUCAACCUCGGGUCUGCAGUCGAUACGAGCAAACUAGAGUGUUGCAGGGGAGACUGGAAUUCCUGGUGUAGCGGUGAAAUGCGCAGAUAUCAGGAGGAACACCGGUGGCGGAGGCGGCACUCUGGGCCGGUACUGACGCUGAGGAGCGAAAGCGUGGGGAGCGAACAGG